AUGAGGACGUGCAUCACGCCCUUGUCAUUUGUCCUCAUGCUGCGACUCUCUGGAAGGCUAUGCGAGAGCACUGGAGCGUUACUGACUCCUGCUGACCUUCGCGACGCUGAGCCAGAGUGGCUGUUCCGCCUACUAGAUAAAUUGCCGGAUGUGCAGAAGCUUGCUUCACUGAUGACCAUGUGGAGGAUUUGGUAUGCAAGAAAUGAUGUCACACAUUAUAAACCCCCGAUCCCGAUUGAGGCCUCACAGCGUUUCCGCUCGAGUUAUAUCACUUCUCUGCUUGCAAUACGGCAGCAUCCCGAAGUGGACUUAGCGAAGGAUAAGCAGGUGAUGAUUACUUGGGAAGCACGUCAAAUCAUCUUCGCCGUGACGUGGGUGCUCUUUAAUUCUGGUGAUCCUCAGGAAGCGGAGAUGGCGGCCAUGGAUGAAGGGCUUCGACUUGCGCUUCACUGGUCCAACUUGUCGUUAGUUGUGGAGACGGACUGCGCUGAGUUGUUGAAGAUGGUGCAAUCUAAAGAUGUUGAGCGAUCGAGUAACCCACGCAAGGGAAACUUUGACGAGCUGGACCUUUCAACAAGUAAAAAACCACCUGGCCUCAAAGUGACUCCCAUGAAAGAAUCCUGA
rnacentral:rRNA from 1 species